UACGUAGGGGGCAAGCGUUGUCCGGAAUCAUUGGGCGUAAAGAGCGCGUAGGCGGCCCUGUAAGUCCGCUGUGAAAGUCAAGGGCUCAACCCUUGAAUGCCGGUGGAUACUGUCGGGCUAGAGUGCGGAAGAGGCGAGUGGAAUUCCUGGUGUAGCGGUGAAAUGCGCAGAUAUCAGGAGGAACACCUAUUGCGAAGGCAGCUCGCUGGGACGUAACUGACGCUGAGACGCGAAAGCGUGGGGAGCAAACAGG
rnacentral:rRNA from 1 species